CUAAUGCCUUAAAUUAGUUGAUUAAUGAAAUUAUUUUAAAACUUUCCACUAGGGGCAUUCUCUAAGGUAUAUACCACCAAUUUAGGAAAACCUCUCCUUAUCACACAAGCCUGCCUGUGUUCCCUGAGGGCACAAGCCCUAAAGCCAGUUUGUCCCUUUAGGAGCUGAGUUUCUGUGGAAAACAAAGGCGAGGGGUGUGAAAGUCGGGGAGAGGGAGGAAAAAGCGAGGAGAAGGGAUGUUCAGCAAUCAAUAAGGAAGUUUGGGAAGAAGAUACCAGACGCUAAGCUUCAUUUUAAUGUGUGGGAAGAGAAGUCUGCCUUCAUACAUCCACCUCACCCACCUCAGAGGAGAAAGUUGUGUUCUUGGGCUUCCCACCCUCCCACCAAAUGUAAGGCGUCCACCUCAUCCCCCAAGAGUUAUGCUCCUAACCUCAGAGUAGGCACCUGGCAGAGUGGGACCAUGGAUGCCUGAGGCAUAAAUGGCUGGUACGCUUGGGUGACAGGCAUGGGUCAGCCUCCUUGGAAAGGUGGCUUUUGAAGGUCAGAAGUCCCUGUUGGGGUGGAAAGGGGCCUGCGAGGAGAGGAGGGACCUGGAGUCGGGCUGUGCACUCUCUCGCCAGUUCCUGGGCGGCUCUGAGACCCAGCACUCUCCCUAUGGAAGGGCAGUGCUACCCGGCCUGCCUGUAACUGCGCUCAAUAACCGUCCUUGCCAUGAGGCGAUGGUCCGGGUGCCCAGCAAACAUCAAACUCAAACCACCGGCCGGGACGGAUGCCUGCUGCCAGCUCUUUCCAACUCCCCAUCCAUGCCGAGCAGGCCACUGUUCCUCCCCUGCAACGCCGCCAGCCCGCACCGCGCUCCCAGCCCGCAGGACGCCGCAGCCGAGCCCGCAAGGCCCCCAAGGCCGCCACGCCUCAUCGUCUUCCCGGCACUUUCUUGUCUGAGUUGACUAUUUUUGCUCAUGUCUCACAGGACUAAUGUUCUCCAUUUCAUUUCACUUUUUUCGCCCGUUGGAAUUCCACCUCCUCUCCCUCUUCUGUUCUGUUCUUCUUUCUCCACCGUCUCAUCGUUUCUUCCUCUUCAGUCUUCUCAAGUUGUUGAAAGCGUCAGCUCGGAGAAGUAGAUUUACUUCUUUUUCAGCAGUGAUUAGAAGCAACUCCUCCGCCGGGGAAACUUCUCCAUGCAAAACUCUGCGGCCACUGUCUAGGAAAGGAAGAAUAGGCAGAGACUGGGCCACUUGUUCAUUUAGAUGGCUGCCGACCUGCAAGCCCCUGAGACGUGUUUAGCUGGCUGAAGGCUAGAGAAUAAGACCUACCUCUUCUCUGAGGGGCCUGUGGUUCUUCAAAACCCUGGGAAAAGAAGAAAGCAAGCAACGCAAACCCUGACUCUCGGCUUCAAAAGUCAGCUGCGGCUCUGCUGCUGCUGCUGCUGCUGCUGCUCCUGUCAGGUUGAAUUUCUCUUGGCUGCUCCUGUCGAAGCAUUCAGAACAACCGUGCGUGUGUGUGUGCACACAUGCAUGUGCCACUUUUAUUAGUCAUCAUUGGUGGGGCCGCAGGGGGUUCAUGGUCCUACACUCACAGUUUAGAGAAGGACUGGGGGGGAUCACCGUGCUGGGGGCCUCCUGACUGAUCCGGAACUCUCUGGCCUAGCAGGGCCUGCCUAGCUACCGGUUCACACCUUGGUUUUUCCUGGUCCCCUUGCAAAAAUCCAAGCAUGUAACACUUUCAGCAUCCUACUCCUUGGGCUUCUCAGCCUGAAUUACGAUUCUGGCUAUUAUAGACCUUGAAAUCUUUAAGAACUGUUAGAAACUCCAGAACUGGCCAUUCUAGAGGAAAAAGAGAAUACUGGAUUACUUCAUUUUCCUCCAGUGCUUUCCCACUCUUACUUGGUGUAUUAGUCAGCCAAUGGGGUGCUGAUGCAAAAUACCAGAAAUUGGUUGUAUAAAGGGUAUUUAUUUGGGUCAGGAGCUUACAGAUACCAGGCUAUAAAGCAUAAGUUACUUCCCUCACCAAAGUCUAUUUGGAGCAAGAUGGCUGCUGAUGUCUGCCAGGGUUCAGGUUUCCUGGGUUCCUCUCUUCCAGGGUCUUGCUUCUCUCUGGGUUUAGGGUUCCCCUCCUCCCAGGGCUUGCUUCUUCCUGGUCUCAGGGUUCCUCUCUUCCUAGGGCUUGUUUCUGUUUCCUCUGUGAGCUUACUUCCUGGGGCUCCAGCUUAAGGUUUCAGAAUCAAACUCCAACAUCAAAAACCCUCCAACUCAGAUGGAUAGAAUUAAUAGUAAUACAUUAUAGUGCGUAGCAACUGGUUUAUAAAUGGGAUUGUGACUGAAAAAGGUAGUCUGGGGAAGUAAAUAUCAAUAGAAAGUAAGCUAAAGAAUAAUCUAGGGACUGAAUAACACAGUGAACCCAGAGGCGGUUGAGAAUUGUGGUUAAGGGUACAAACGCAAGAGAGCCCUUCUGUGAGCUAGAGCAGAUGUACAUCAUUAUUGCAGGGUGAUGGGAAUAUGGAGAAACAUGGGAAAACUACAAUUGGUGUGACCUAUAGACUGUGAUUAACAGCAAUACUAUAAUAUUCUUGCAUUAAUGCUAGGCUAUACUGAGUUGAUAAUUGUGGGGUAUGGAAAAAGUGUGCCAAAUGUAUGCUAUGGACCAUGAUUGGUGGUAAUAGUCUGAUGAUAUUAUCUCAUAAUCUGUAACAAAUGUUCCACCAGGGUGUGGAGUUGUACGAGAAAUCUACACAUCUAUAUGAUUGUUUUGCAAGUUCACAAUAUCUGUAACAAAAAUACAUUAAAAAAAAAUAGUAUGGGUUGGGGAAAAAAUACACCAAAUGUAAGAUAAGGAAUAUAGUGGGUAGUAAUGUUUUGACGAUGUUCUUGCUUAGUUUGUAACGAACAUUUCACACCAAUGCAAAGAGUUGGUGGAGGGGUGAUGUAUGAGACCCCUGUGCGAUGUUAUGCAUGUUUAUUUUGUAAGUUUGCAAUCUUUACUAUACACUUAUUGUUUAUGUGUGUUCAUGUAUGAAUGAUAUACUUCAAUAAAAUAAAAAUAAAAACAACAACAACAAUAAAAACCACCUCCA
rnacentral:lncRNA from 1 species